UUUUCAAAAGCUUUUCUAGUAGACUAACAGCAAGCAUCAGGCACUGCUUUUGAAGAAAGUUGUCUAUCUUUACAGGUACCACUUCUCUCCUAGUAUAUCAGUAUCUCAGAGCAAAGCUUUUGAAAUUUGCUUCAUUUUGGAUUCUUCCUUCAGACAUUUAAUGCUGGAUUUUGAGAACUGUCCACCUUCAUCCUGCUGAAACCAGACACAGUACAAGAUAGUCAGCUCAGAGGCAGGAAUGAAAUAUAAUGUUUGGGCACCAGAGAAGCAAUUACCUGCUUGUUACCUGACUUCAAGUUGAUGAGGUUGUAUCCAGUCCUGUUAUUGAUCACACAGUUCUACCGGUUAUGGAAGGAUGAAGAUUCCUCAAAAUCACUGACGAGGACAGAACACAAAUUCAGACCUCCUUCUCAUUUCUUCUUACCCGGCGGAGCCUGGAGUUCCGCUGUCACCCAGUCACUUGUCAUCUGAAGGCCCUUAUGGAAAAGUAAUGUCCGGACAUGUGCAGAGAAACCAUUGUGAAGUACAGCUGUUCGGAAACUGCCCCCUUGAACAAGUUACUGUUUUCAGCGUUGUCAUGCUUGGGUGCUCAGAGCAGCAGUCAUGGAGCUACGGCAUCUCUCAGCAGAGCGAGUCGGGUUCAGGUACAUUGGCUUUUGGUGGAGUCCCAGGCACUCCAAGAGCAGAAAUAUCUGUAUUUUUAGCUGUCACUGUAUCAAAUGGCUACAUGCUGAAAUUUGUUCUCCAGUUUCCAUUUCACUGAAGAAGCAGUCUCUGUGCUCACCUCAAGGCUAAUUCUCCAGUGUUAAUUAUUGGGCGUAAGAGAAACUAUUUUGUUUGUUUCUAAUUUAAAUGAGCGACUAUUUUUAAUGCUUGAAAACAGCAUGUUCUUAUGCUUCCUACAGAUUGUUUCAUGAAGUACUGGGGGAAAAAAAUCUGUGUGUUAUCAUUCAUGUAUAACCUAAUAUAAACAACAUGGAAAUACAGAACAGCAGCUUUCCAAAAUGUUCUUACAGAAGAGAAAUACGCCCUCCUAGCCCAAUCACACUGCUUCCCUGGGGCAUCUACAGCAAUUGCUUGUAUGAAAAACAUAAUAUUUUCAGACGUUAAUGAGCAGAGAAAGCAUCUUUAACCCAUCAGUUCUCACUGAACCUCCAAUAAAUAACCCAGGGACUGGAAGCAAUCCAAUUGAUCACAGUUGGAAUACUUCUGCUACACAGUAACUAUUUUUAAAAAUGGUGUAUGAAUGCUUAGCUCAUUAAAAUGAUGCAUAAUCCACAAUACAGUGUGUUUCUUAAUGUCCAAGCCUGCUCAUUAUCUAUAUUCGUUUUCUGCGUGUAUCUAGUAUUCUGCUAGCCAAAGUGUUCAUGAGGCUAAUUGAACCUCUAGAGUUUUCUAACGGAUUAUUCCUGGAGAGUCAGUGCUUGCUCUUGCGUAGGUUGGGUCACUGACAGACAUUUUGGUCAGAUGUUUUGGUUCUUCCAAAAUAUACGUGAAUCACAACCAGGGAACUAUUACUGAUACCAUACAUUUAUGCUUAAACAAUGCCUCCGAGAUUUUUUCCAAUUGUAUUACCAUUCGUGAAUGAUAUCACACAGUCCAUGAUAACCUGUUCGUUUAAUGUGAUAAAUUCUUGAAAAUAAAAUCAAAAAAGGUUAACAAAAAUGUACAAACAAGAUUAUAAUCCCCACAGAAAUAGGUAUAGUAAGUUCUCAGGAUGAGUAAAAGCCUCGUUUAUGGUUUUGGUUAUAGACAGUAAAAAGCAAUGAGUAGAAGGUAGAAGAUGCAUUCCCUUCUUGGAAGGGAAUAUUCCUUCUCAGUGCGGUGUAAAUCUAAACCAUAGUGAAUAGCUGAAAUGGUAAUGACUUUCUUACUUAUAACUGACACAAGUUCCACUAUCUGAGAGGCAGCUGGUCAGGAUCGUAUUCCAGAUGCAUUUCCCAGCACAAUGCAAAGAUGACUUAACAAAGUGGGACCCUGGCAGCCUUCAAACAAAGCACAACAAGACAAAAAACCAA